rnacentral:rRNA from 1 species
GACACUGCGCCGAAAAUGUACCGGGGCUAAACAUAUUACCGAAGCUGUGGAUUGUCCUUUGGACAAUGGUAGGAGAGCGUUCUAAGGGCGUUGAAGCAUGAUCGUAAGGACAUGUGGAGCGCUUAGAAGUGAGAAUGCCGGUGUGAGUAGCGAAAGACGGGUGAGAAUCCCGUCCACCGAUUGACUAAGGUUUCCAGAGGAAGGCUCGUCCGCUCUGGGUUAGUCGGGUCCUAAGCUGAGGCCGACAGGCGUAGGCGAUGGAUAACAGGUUGAUAUUCCUGUACCACCUAUAAUCGUUUUAAUCGAUGGGGGGACGCAGUAGGAUAGGCGAAGCGUGCGAUUGGAUUGCACGUCUAAGCAGUAAGGCUGAGUAUUAGGCAAAUCCGGUACUCGUUAAGGCUGAGCUGUGAUGGGGAGAAGACAUUGUGUCUUCGAGUCGUUGAUUUCACACUGCCGAGAAAAGCCUCUAGAUAGAAAAUAGGUGCCCGUACCGCAAACCGACAC